rnacentral:lncRNA from 1 species
CUCUGUCCCUAACUGGACACUCCCUGCAGGAAGGAAAUGUGCUUGUCUGCUCAUGGCUGAUUCAGGCCCCAGCAUGGUGCUGGGAACACAGUGGCUGCCUAAUCAACCAACUGCCAUUCCCUCUUUCUUCCUUGUUAAUGGAACCCAAGUUUUGUUCUGGUUCAGAGAGCUGAUUCUGUGGCCUCACCCUGGGGACGCACCAUGAUCUGGCCAUACCAUCUCCCUUUGCCGGUAAUUACUUAGGUUUGCCAUAGUGCUGCAUUCAGGAGCUUCUGUCCAAGACACAAAGCCUGGCUGGCCUGUCAUUUCUUAAUAAUCCAGCAAGCUUCCAGGACUGACUUCAUCCUUCUGUCCAUUCAAUCAUCCAUCCAUCCACUUACCCAUCCAUCUAUCCAAAGGGGCACAAGGACACUUUUAGGGCUGAUGGAUGUGUUCACUGUCUUGACUGCUAUGAUGGUUUUAUGGGUGUGUACAUGUGUUAGAACUGGUAAAGUGGUAUACUUUAAAUGUGUGCAUGUGAGUGUACCUUAAUUAUAUUUCAAUAAAGUUGGAAAAAAGGAAGGUAAAUAACAGUAGGUCAAAACUGAUAACACCCCACAUUAUCCAUGGACAAGACAAUGGAUAAGCUGUGGAAUAUCCAUACAAUGGAAUACUGCUCAGCAGUAGAAAGGAACAAAUUGCUCAAAUAUACGACAACAUGGACCAUCUCACACAUGAAUGCUGAUCAAAAGACGUCAGAUGCGACAAUCAUUCUGUACAGUUCCAUUUAUAUACACUUCAAAAACAGAGAAAACAGGCCUGGCAUGGUGGCUUAUGCCUAUAAUUCUAGCACUUUGGGAGGCCAAGGCAGGUGGAUCACCCGAGGUCAGGAGUUCAAGGCCAGCCUGACCAACAUGGUGAAACUCUGUCUCUACUAAAAAUACAAAAAUUAGCUGGGUGUGGUGGCGCACGCCUGUAAUCCCAGCUACUCAGGAGGCUGAGGCAAGAGAAUUGCUUGAACCUGGGAGGCAGAGGUUGCAGUGAGCCGAGAUCACGCCAUUGCACUCCAGUCUGGGCAACAAGAGCAAAACUCCAGCUCAAAACAAACAAACAAACCAGAGAAAACAGAGCUAUGGUGUUUAUGAGUAUGUGCUCAGGUGGUAAAACUAUAAAGAAAAACAAGAACACAAUGAUCAUUAAGUCCUCCCUAGGGAAGGAGGAAGGGGUGGUCUCUGGGAGGGAAGAUGAUGGGGCUUCUGGGGAGCUGGCAGAUUUCUUGACCUGGGUGGUUACGUGGAUGUGUGCUUGAUAAUAAACCAUUGAGCUGUACGUUUUGUUUUGUGUGCAUUUCUGAAUAUAUUUUACAUUGUGUAAUUUAAAAUGGAGCAACAUAUAUAUACAUGCUUGUAUGGAAAGGUACAAAAAAGGAAAAUUUUAACAGUUUUUCUUUCCUCUGAGGAGAGAGGCUAUGAACUAGUGGGGGCUUAUAUUCUUUUUCCUUAUGCUUUUCGUAAGUACAUUAAAAUGUCAAAAAUACAUAAAAUAUUUCCUCGCACUGUUCGUAAGGAAAAUCCACAAAUUUUCAUCAUAAAUGCAUGGAUGAGAAAGCAAAGAAGGGGUUCUCCAGCUGCAGGUACUGAAGCAAGGACUAGGGAUCUAAGCAGAAGACAGAAGAGGCAAUGGCUUGUGUGUCUACGUGAGAGAGAGAGUGUGUGUGUGUCUGUGUGAGAGUGUGUAUGUAUGUCUAUGUGAGUGUAUGUGUCUGUGAGAGUGUGUCUCUAUGUGAGUGAGAGUGUGUCUAUGCGAGAGUGUGUGUGUCUAUGUGUGUGUUUAUGCGAGUGUAUCUAUAUGAGUGUAU